rnacentral:rRNA from 1 species
AACGUAGGUACCGAGCGUUAUCCGGAUUUAUUGGGCGUAAAGGGCGCGUAGGCGGUUUCUUAAGUUUGGAGUGACAGUGGGUGGCUUAACUACACAAGGCCUCUGAAAACUGGGGAACUUGAGGACCAGAGAGGGACAUAGAAUUCCGGGUGGAGUGGUGAAAUGCGUAGAUAUCCGGAGGAAUACCAAAGGCGAAGGCAGUGUCCUGGAGGGUGACUGACGCUGAGGCGCGAAAGCUAGGGGAGCGAACAGG